rnacentral:rRNA from 1 species
GGCUCAGAUUGAACGCUGGCGGCAGGCCUAACACAUGCAAGUCGAGCGGUAACAGUCCUUCUGGAGCUGACGAGCGGCGGACGGGUGAGUAACGCGUAGGAAUCUACCCAGUAGAGGGGGAUAGCCCGGGGAAACUCGGAUUAAUACCGCAUAAACUCUAUGGAGCAAAGGGGGCUUCGGCUCUCGCUACUGGAUGAGCCUGCGUGGGAUUAGCUAGUUGGUGAGGUAAUGGCUCACCAAGGCGACGAUCUCUAACUGGUCUGAGAGGAUGAUCAGUCACACUGGAACUGAGACACGGUCCAGACUCCUACGGGAGGCAGCAGUGGGGAAUAUUGCACAAUGGGCGAAAGCCUGAUGCAGCCAUGCCGCGUGUGUGAAGAAGGCCUUAGGGUUGUAAAGCACUUUCAGUAGGGAGGAAGGCCAAGUAGUUAAUACCUGCUUGGAUUGACGUUACCUACAGAAGAAGCACCGGCUAACUCCGUG